rnacentral:rRNA from 1 species
UACGGAGGGUGCAAGCGUUAAUCGGAAUUACUGGGCGUAAAGCGCACGCAGGCGGUUUUUUAAGUCAGAUGUGAAAUCCCUGGGCUCAACCUGGGAACUGCAUUUGAAACUGGCAAGCUUGAGUCUUGUAGAGGGGGGUAGAAUUCCAGGUGUAGCGGUGAAAUGCGUAGAGAUCUGGAGGAAUACCGGUGGCGAAGGCGGCCCCCUGGACAAAGACUGACGCUCAGGUGCGAAAGCGUGGGGAGCAAACAGG